rnacentral:rRNA from 1 species
UAGAGUUUGAUCCUGGCUCAGAUUGAACGCUGGCGGCAUGCUUUACACAUGCAAGUCGAACGGCAGCACGGACUUCGGUCUGGUGGCGAGUGGCGAACGGGUGAGUAAUACAUCGGAACGUACCCAGUAAUGGAGGAUAACUAUCCGAAAGGAUAGCUAAUACCGCAUACGCCCUACGGGGGAAAGAGGGGGAUCGCAAGACCUCUUGUUAUUGGAGCGGCCGAUGGCUGAUUAGCUAGUUGGUGAGGUAAAGGCUCACCAAGGCGACGAUCAGUAGCGGGUCUUAGAGGACGAUCCGCCACACUGGAACUGAGACACGGUCCAGACUCCUACGGGAGGCAGCAGUGGGGAAUCUUGGACAAUGGGCGCAAGCCUGAUCCAGCAAUGCCGCGUGCGUGAAGAAGGCCUUCGGGUUGUAAAGCGCUUUUGUCAGGGAGCAAAAGGUGGUGGCUAAUAUCCAUCGCUCUUGAGAGUACCUGAAGAAUAAGGACCGGCUAACUACGUGCCAGCAGCCGCGGUAAUACGUAGGGUCCAAGCGUUAAUCGGAAUUACUGGGCGUAAAGCGUGCGCAGGUGGUUUGUUAAGCACGAUGUGAAAUCCCCGAGCUCAACUUGGGAAUUGCAUUGUGAACUGGCUAACUAGAGUACGGCAGAGGGGGGUGGAAUUCCACGUGUAGCAGUGAAAUGCGUAGAGAUGUGGAGGAACACCGAUGGCGAACGCAACCCCCCUGGGCUGAUACUGACACUCAUGCACGAAAGCGUGGGGAGCAAACAGGAUUAGAUACCCUGGUAGUCCACGCCCUAAACGAUGUCAACUAGUUGUUGGGCUUUUCGGAGCUUAGUAACGCAGCUAACGCGUGAAGUUGACCGCCUGGGGAGUACGGUCGCAAGACUAAAACUCAAAGGAAUUGACGGGGGCCCGCACAAGCGGUGGAUGAUGUGGAUUAAUUCGAUGCAACGCGAAAAAACCUUACCUGGUCUUGACAUGUACGGAAUCCUUUAGAGAUAGAGGAGUGCCUUCGGGAACCGUAACACAGGUGCUGCAUGGCUGUCGUCAGCUCGUGUCGUGAGAUGUUGGGUUAAGUCCCGCAACGAGCGCAACCCUUGCCACUAGUUGCUACCAUUCAGUUGAGCACUUUAGUGGGACUGCCGGUGACAAACCGGAGGAAGGUGGGGAUGACGUCAAGUCCUCAUGGCCCUUAUGACCAGGGCUUCACACGUCAUACAAUGGUCGGUACAGAGGGUCGCUAACCCGCGAGGGGGUGCCAAUCUCACAAAACCGAUCGUAGUCCGGAUUGCACUCUGCAACUCGAGUGCAUGAAGUCGGAAUCGCUAGUAAUCNNGGAUCAGCAUGUCGCGGUGAAUACGUUCCCGGGCCUUGUACACACCGCCCGUCACACCAUGGGAGUGGGUUUCACCAGAAGUAGGUAGGCUAACCGUAAGGAGGCCGCUUACCACGGUGGGAUUCAUGACUGGGGUGAAGUCGUAACAAGGUAGCCGUAA